rnacentral:rRNA from 1 species
GGAUUAGAUACCCUGGUAGUCCACGCCGUAAACGAUGCGCACUAGGUCGGGGAGGUUUUGACGCCGUCUUGACCGAAGCAAAAGUGUUAAGUGCGCCGCCUGGGGAGUACGGUCGCAAGGCUAAAACUCAAAGGAAUUGACGGGGGCUCACACAAGCGGUGGAGCAUGUGGCUUAAUUCGAAGCAACGCGAAGAACCUUAUCCAGGGUUUGACAUCCCGGAUUAAACCAUCGAAAGAUGGUCUACACCCUUUGGGUGGAACGGUGACAGGUGCUGCAUGGCUGUCGUCAGCUCGUGUCG